rnacentral:lncRNA from 1 species
AUGGUAGCUAGACAGGUUUAUCUAGUGGAAACCAAGAGUAGGUUAAACUCAAUUAGACAAUGUAACGGAAAGAUAUCGGAAAUGUCUAAGAAUACCAGGAGUGGUGAAGAAUACUACACAACCAAUAAUGGGUGAAACCCAGUUAUAGUUAAAGUAACAAUGGUUACUUGUAGAGUUGUCAACAUUUUAUUUGGCCCCAAGGCCAGCCCUAACCCCUUUUUUAAUUAGCCCACUAUUUUUGACCCAUGUUAGAGGGGGCUUUUCCAAAGCCCCUGACCCCCACAGCCCCCAGAAAGUGGGUUGAGAGUGAUUUAGGGCCGGGUCAACCCUAUCUCCAAAACAUUGAAAGCUUUAGUUUACUCUAAAAGCCCCACAGUCCCAAGGUACUUUAUUUUUCGACUCUCACACAUUCUCUCUGAUCAAACACUUGCUUAAGAGCUAGCAACCGCAACUCAGGUCNACGACAGACGGCAGUACAGAGUCCACGACAGACGACUGCGCAUGGUGGACGGCAACACACAGUGAACGACGGCACAGAGUAGAGUCAACGACACUUCACGGCAGCGGUGGUACAGGCGGCGAAGAAGAAUCAAGGUUAGCUUCUUUCGAAUACUUUUCGUGUUUUUUCUAAAGAUUGUUGUGAUCCAGUUGAAAUAUUCUACGUUGGAGUUGAUGAGUUGAGGAGAAGGAGUGACGAGAAAUGUAUCAGUGUGGANGAGUCUAGUAUUAAAGAAAUAAAAAUGCAGUAGGAAUAGAAAGAGGGAGAGCAAAAUAGGAUUUAUUGGUUAUGGUUGUGAAAAGAAAAUUUGGGAGAAGGUGGGCUGUGAGAGGAGGGGAG